UACGAAGGGGGCUAGCGUUGUUCGGAAUUACUGGGCGUAAAGCGCACGUAGGCGGAUUAGUAAGUCAGGGGUGAAAUCCCGGGGCUCAACCUCGGAACUGCCUUUGAUACUGCUGAUCUCGAGUCCGGAAGAGGUUAGUGGAAUUCCUGGUGUAGAGGUGAAAUUCGUAGAUAUUAGGAAGAACACCAGUGGCGAAGGCGGCUCACUGGUCCGGUACUGACGCUGAGGUGCGAAAGCGUGGGGAGCGAACAGG
rnacentral:rRNA from 1 species